rnacentral:rRNA from 1 species
CACUGGCCGGCGCGUCCUUCCACCCGGAGACCGCGCCUACUCUUAACUGAGCGGGCGCGGGAGACGGGUCUUUUACUUUGAAAAAAUCAGAGUGUUUCAAGCAGGCAGUCGCUCUUGCAUGGAUUAGCAUGGGAUAAUGAAAUAGGACUCUGGUGCUAUUUUGUUGGUUUCGAACACCGGAGUAAUGAUUAACAGGGACAGUCAGGGGCACUCGUAUUCCGCCGAGAGAGGUGAAAUUCUCAGACCAGCGGAAGACGAACCACUGCGAAAGCAUUUGCCAGGGAUGUUUUCACUGAUCAAGAACGAAAGUUAGGGGAUCGAAGACGAUCAGAUACCGUCGUAGUCUUAACCAUAAACCAUGCCGACUAGGGAUUGGAGGAUGUUCCAUUUGUGACUCCUUCAGCACCUUUCGGGAAACUAAAGUCUUUGGGUUCCGGGGGGAGUAUGGUCGCAAGGCUGAAACUUAAAGGAAUUGACGGAAGGGCACCACCAGGAGUGGAGCCUGCGGCUUAAUUUGACUCAACACGGGGAAACUUACCAGGUCCAGACAUUGUGAGGAUUGACAGAUUGAGAGCUCUUUCUUGAUUCGAUGGGUGGUGGUGCAUGGCCGUUCUUAGUUGGUGGAGUGAUUUGUCUGGUUAAUUCCGUUAACGAACGAGACCGCAGCCUGCUAAAUAGCGACGCGAACCCUCCGUUCGCUGGAGCUUCUUAGAGGGACAACUUGUCUUCAACAAGUGGAAGUUCGCGGCAAUAACAGGUCUGUGAUGCCCUUAGAUGUUCUGGGCCGCAC